rnacentral:rRNA from 1 species
AUGUGUUCUUCUCUGGCAGGAACACAUUGCGUUAGACAAUUUCAGAAUACAAACAUUCAGUUUGCACAUCCAUCAUCACUGUGUUCUCUGAACUUUGAAGUAUGCUUUGGCGAACACACUACAGAGAGGACCUCUGUCCAAUCAUCACUCUGUCUCCCUAUGCUCCCCCUCCUCCGUCAACCGCGGCGGCGCGUCACGGUCCAAGAACUCCUUCACCGCGGAAGGGAAUGCAAUGGCUGCUCUAUCCUCGGGACCUUCUCCAUCCCAGGACCACGAGGCCUUGGCGACCAACAGAUGCGCCAGCCUCGCGGGCUCCCUGCACUCACCGCCACCGCCGUCGCCGUAGUAAUGCUGGAUCCAGCCGUCCACCCUCCUCUUCUCCUUUUCGCACUUGGGCCCGACCACUCCGACGACCUUCGCCAUGAACCCGUCGCCGCCGCUGCAGUCGCACCCGCCGCUGUCGCCUCCGUCGUCGCCGAACCAUGGCGGCGGCGACAGGCCGAUAAGCGCCAUCAGCCGCGCUAUGUCCGCCCCGCUAUCGCCGUCGUCGUCGGAGUCGGAGUCUUGUUGGGGCUCCUGCACGCGCACCUCAUCUUUGGAGAGGGUGAGGAAGUCCAGCGCCGGGCCACUGCUCUCGCCGGCGCCGCCGCCGCGGUCGGUGGCCGUGGCCGUCGACGCGCCGAGGAAGAGCGGGGAUGCGGUCAUGGUGUCCGAGAAAAGCGGCGGCGCGACGGGCUGUCGGGGCGCCGGCCGCUGCUCCUCCGCCGCCAACCGGUCUUCCACCUGAGGAGGAAAUCGCCAUUCGUCAGAAGGGGGAGGCGGCGCGGCGGGGCCGUGAGGGAUUACAGCUGUGGGUUGGGUACCUGCUUGAGGGACGCGAAGAAGCUGGUGUGCCGCGAGAAGGGCUGCAUCGUGUGGUGUCGCGGCCGCCGCCGGCAGGGUGCAGUGCAAACGCCAACCGAUGCGAAAAUGGCUUCCGCUGCCGAAAUUUCCUUUUUAGGUUUUUUCUUUAGGAUCUCCCUUUUUAGGUUUUUUUGA